AUGUUUCAUCGCUUAAGCGAGUAUUAUGUUGGGUGGCCUACACAAGAUGGACAGUGGCAGACCUACUACUCGGUUGUAGCCCAGGAAACAUUUGGCAGGGAUGAAACAUGUGCAUGUGCCCUUCACAUAGCACGUCACUACGAUGGUACCAAGCUCAAGAUCCCCCUCACGAAGCACAAUGUCGGCAAGACCAAAAGUCAGGCACUACACGAAUGCCUGAAACUAAAAGGAAAUUCUUCAAAAUUGGCGCAUGACGCUCUGUGGGUGGUUCUAACUCCAUCUGAUUCCUGGGUUGGCUCGAACCAGUCGGGUUAG
rnacentral:rRNA from 1 species